AAAAGUCCAAAUGUUUGUGGAUUUCAUAUAUCACUAGGUAUAUCACUCCAAUCUCUGUCAAGAGCGUUAGUUCAUGAUGUCCUGAUGUAGUAUUUUUCAAGUAGUGGCGUAAUAUCAAAAAAGGUCAUUCAUUUCCGCGAUGAAAACAAGCAUUCUGCUGUUAGCUCAUCUAUUCACCCUUAUAAAAUAAGAGCAGAGACUUCAAUACUUCUAAGGUUUUAUUAAUUAGACUUUGGGGAUUGAUCGGCAGUAAACACUGGAAACCCAUCAAAAUCUUUUGUUGCUUGGUGAAUCACCGGCUUGCUCCUGAACGUCAGCAGAUAAUAUAGCGAACCCGGGCUUGCUAAGUUCGCUGCCUUUGUCAAGUCGAUGGGGAUCUCCUAACCAAGGAAGAUACGACGUCAGUCCAAUAUUAGGGAAAAAUUGCGCAAUUCAAGAGUUAUUAUCAGGCUGCAAAGUGCAAAGAAAAUCAGAACAUUCCGAUUACUUCCGAAAAUAUGCCAGAAAAAUCGAAAUUUACCGAUUUUGUUUAUAUUUUUUACAGGUGUUGUGUAAAUAGAUACAAAUAAAAAAACAACAUUUUUGAAAAUAGAUAACGUGUAUAAAAAUGAACCAAAAUCCGGUACCCAUGCAUUGCCAUUGUUUUCGGUUCGUUUUUUCACAAGAAGAUGAUGCACAGAACAAUGUGAACAAAAUUAAUACAAAUUUACAAAUGAAUAAAUCCCUAUGGCACUUAUAAUUAAAGAAAAAAAAUCUAUUUCAAUGGUAAAUUUCUAUUCAAAUGUGCUUUAAACAAUUGUCAGACAAGCUAUGCCGGAAUCGUCUUCGGCUGCAGAGUGCUACGCGUAAUGACCA